GACGAACGCUGGCGGCGUGCUUAACACAUGCAAGUCGAGCGACGCUCUUCCUUCGGGGAGAUGACGGAGCGGCGAACGGGUGAGUAACACGUGGGCAACCUGCCCCUAGCUCUGGGACAACACCGGGAAACCGGUGCUAAUACCGGAUACGACAUCGAGCGGCAUCUCUCGAUGUGGAAAGUUUUUUCGGCUAGGGAUGGGCCCGCGGCCUAUCAGCUUGUUGGUGGGGGGAUGGCCCACCAAGGCGACGACGGGUAGCCGGCCUGAGAGGGCGACCGGCCACACUGGGACUGAGACACGGCCCAGACUCCUACGGGAGGCAGCAGUGGGGAAUAUUGCGCAAUGGGCGAAAGCCUGACGCAGCGACGCCGCGUGAGGGAUGACGGCCUUCGGGUUGUAAACCUCUUUCAGCAGGGACGAAUUCAGACGGUACCUGCAGAAGAAGCACCGGCCAACUACGUG
rnacentral:rRNA from 1 species